UCUUCACUGCAUGAGAUGGAGCAUUAUCUUGCAUGAAGACCAGCUUUCUCUUGAAUGAAAGUUUUUGCUUUUUGAACCAUAGUUGGAAAUUGUGCUUUAAGAAAAAAAAUUAUAGUAAAACUGUU